UACGAAGGGGGCUAGCGUUGUUCGGAAUUACUGGGCGUAAAGCGCGCGCAGGCGGUUUUUCAAGUCAGUGGUGAAAGCCCGGAGCUCAACUCCGGAACUGCCAUUGAAACUGUGAAACUCGAGGAUGAGAGAGGUGAGUGGAAUUCCCAGUGUAGAGGUGAAAUUCGUAGAUAUCGAGAGGAACACCGGUGGCGAAGGCGGCCUUCUGGACAGUGACUGACGCUGAGAUGCGAAAGCGUGGGGAGCAAACAGG
rnacentral:rRNA from 1 species